rnacentral:rRNA from 1 species
AACCUCCGCAAUGUGAGAAAUCGCGACGGGGGGAUCCCAAGUGCCAUUCUUAACGGGAUGGCUUUUCUUAAGUGUAAAAAGCUUUUGGAAUAAGAGCUGGGCAAGACCGGUGCCAGCCGCCGCGGUAACACCGGCAGCUCUAGUGGUAGCUGUUUUUAUUGGGCCUAAAGCGUUCGUAGCCGGUUUGAUAAGUCACUGGUGAAAUCCUGUAGCUUAACUGUGGGAAUUGCUGGUGAUACUGUUGAACUUGAGGUCGGGAGAGGUUAGAGGUACUCCCAGGGUAGAGGUGAAAUUCUGUAAUCCUGGGAGGACCGCCUGUUGCGAAGGCGUCUAACUGGAACGGUUCUGACGGUGAGGGACGAAAGUUAGGGGCGCGAACCGGAUUAGAUACCCGGGUAGUCCUAACUGUAAACGAUGCGGACUUGGUGUUGGGGUGGCUUUGAGCUGCUUCAGUGCCGAAGGGAAGCUGUUAAGUCCGCCGCCUGGGAAGUACGGUCGCAAGACUGAAACUUAAAGGAAUU